CUACGGGGUGCACCAGUCGAGAAUCUUCCGCAAUGGGCGAAAGCCUGACGGAGCGAUGUCGCGUGAUGGAUGAAGUCUUUCGGGAUGUAAACAUCUUUUAUAAGGGAGGAAGUUUAUUGACGUUACCUUAUGAAUAAGGGGUUGCUAAAUCGGUGCCAGCAGCAGCGGUAAUACCGGUACCCCGAGCGUUAUCCGGAAUCAUUGGGCGUAAAGCGUGUGUAGUCGGUCUUAUUAGUCUUCUGUCAAAUCCUCAGGCUUAACCUGAGGCUCGCAGGAGAAACGGUAAGACUAGAGAGUGUGAGGGGUAAGUGGAACUCAUAGUGUAGGGGUGAAAUCCGUUGAUAUUAUGGGGAACACCAAAAGCGAAGGCAACUUACUGGCACAUUUCUGACGCUCAGACACGAAAGCGUGGGUAGCGAAUGGGAUUAGAUACCCCUGUAGUC
rnacentral:rRNA from 1 species